rnacentral:tRNA from 1 species
GGCCGCUUGGUGUAGUGGUUAUCACGUUUCCUUUACACGGAAAAGGUCGCCUGUUCGAUCCAGGCAGUGGUCA